CUGCUUCCUGAACCUUAGAGGAACAAGAUGUGUUAGGUCUCAGCACAGCGGGGACCCCCCAGAGCCCUGAGUGCGGCCAUACCCACCAGGAGCUGGUUAGAGCACGUCAGUGCCCGGGGACACUCCUACCUGAAGAAGUAGGCUGCAAGGAGGAACAGGAGGAGGAGCAGAGGCAGCAGCAGCCAGCACAACCCACCGAAAUCACAAAGAAGGAGUUGAGGGGCUGAAGGAAGCAUCAGAAGUCUGAAGACUGGCUAGAUGACGAGCUCGCUCCUGUUUCGCCACAGCAAAAGCUGAUGCUGAGGAAUGUGGCUGUGCUCUCAAGACUGUCCAGCCUGUUUGUCUCUGCAAUGCUCCCUGCAUCUGUACCCCAUGAGUCAGGACAGAGAGGCAUAGAGGAGCAGAGAGGGGCAUAGAGUGGGUGCAUCCAGGUUACCCAGCUAACAAGUGACUGAGACAAGAUUUGAACCCAGGCAGUGAGUCAAGAAGACCUAUUUUUGUUUGGUUGGGUUUUUUUCCCCCUUUCUACCUCCUCUUCCUCACAUUGGCUUUGUAUUUAAUUUAUUCCUUUAAUUGAGAUAAAUUUACAUGUAAAAUGAA